GGCGGUCGCGGCGGCAGUCGCCCGCCAGUGGCACCGUCGCAGCGCCGCGGCAGGGAGCUGCAGACCGCUCAGGCACUCCGCAGCGCAUGGACCUCUGUCUUGGCGCAGCCGACACGUUUUCGCCGUGGACGACGUGCUGAACGGAGGAGAAUCAGCCAACAGUCAUCGACUGAAUCUGCGGAGUUGAUUGUCGUCAGAGAAGCAAUCUGUCAAUACUUUCAAACAUGAACGAGGACGCCAGCAAAAAGAAGAUGGAAGAAGCGACGAUAGAGGAAAUCGGCGACAGGCGAUGGUACCACAUCAACCGAAACUUUCUACCUAUCAAGCUGGUGUACUUUUGGAAUUUUUGUGCCUCAUACACGAUCCUGCCGCUGCUGACCCUGCAGAUGACCUCACUUGGCCUGACGCUGGCCGACGUCGCUCAGGUCUACCUCUUCAUGCCUAUAGCCUCUCUGGUGGCACCCAUCGU